rnacentral:rRNA from 1 species
CCUAUCAGUAUCCUGAGUAGGGCGGGACACGUGAAAUCCCGUUUGAAUCCGCGAGGACCAUCUCGCAAGGCUAAAUACUAACCAGUGACCGAUAGUGAACCAGUACCGUGAGGGAAAGGUGAAAAGAACCCCGGGAGGGGAGUGAAAGAGAACCUGAAACCGUGUGCCUACAAGUAGUCAGAGCCCGUUAACGGGUAAUGGCGUGCCUUUUGUAGAAUGAACCGGCGAGUUGCGUUAGUCAGCAAGGUUAAGUCAGAAAAGACGGAGCCGUAGCGAAAGCGAGUCUGAAGAGGGCGAG